UCCGGCCUCCCUAUGCAGCAUGGUGACCCCCAGGCUUAUCAAGAUAUAAAAGUCCAUCCUGGAGGGCACAUUCGGCUCCGCAGGCUUCUCCCAGUCUCUCUACAGCUUAUGAGUGGUUGAACCAGAUUCAGAACUGCUCUCCAGAGGACUUUUGGAAAUUUGGGGAUGGAGAAGGAAAUUUGUUGUCAGAAUGAUUAAGGAAUGUCAUCAAUAUUUCACAACUAGGCCCAGAAGUUUUAACACCUUGCAACGUAUGGGACAUCCCUGCCUAAAGAAAAAAUGCUUUUCCCCAAAUGCCAGUAGAUACCUGUAUUAGUCAGGGUUCUCCAAGGAAACAGAACUAAAGGGAAAUUCAUAUUCGUAAAUGGAGAUUUAUUAUGAG
rnacentral:lncRNA from 1 species